rnacentral:tRNA from 1 species
GAGGGCAUAGCUCAGUGACACAGUACCUGCCUAGCAUGCAUGAGGUCCUGAGUUCAAUCCCCAGUACCUCCA